rnacentral:rRNA from 1 species
CGGAAGGCCCUUCGGGGUACUCGAGUGGCGAACGGGUGAGUAACACGUGGGUGAUCUGCCCUGCACUCUGGGAUAAGCCUGGGAAACUGGGUCUAAUACCGGAUAGGACCACACACUUCAUGGUGAGUGGUGCAAAGCUUUUGCGGUGUGGGAUGAGCCCGCGGCCUAUCAGCUUGUUGGUGGGGUAAUGGCCCACCAAGGCGACGACGGGUAGCCGGCCUGAGAGGGUGACCGGCCACACUGGGACUGAGAUACGGCCCAGACUCCUACGGGAGGCAGCAGUGGGGAAUAUUGCACAAUGGGCGCAAGCCUGAUGCAGCGACGCCGCGUGAGGGAUGACGGCCUUCGGGUUGUAAACCUCUUUCAGUAGGGACGAAGCGAAAGUGACGGUACCUACAGAAGAAGGACCGGCCAACUACGUGCCAGCAGCCGCGGUAAUACGUAGGGUCCGAGCGUUGUCCGGAAUUACUGGGCGUAAAGAGCUCGUAGGUGGUUUGUCGCGUUGUUCGUGAAAACUCACAGCUUAACUGUGGGCGUGCGGGCGAUACGGGCAGACUAGAGUACUGCAGGGGAGACUGGAAUUCCUGGUGUAGCGGUGGAAUGCGCAGAUAUCAGGAGGAACACCGGUGGCGAAGGCGGGUCUCUGGGCAGUAACUGACGCUGAGGAGCGAAAGCGUGGGUAGCGAACAGGAUUAGAUACCCUGGUAGUCCACGCCGUAAACGGUGGGUACUAGGUGUGGGUUUCCUUCCUUGGGAUCCGUGCCGUAGCUAACGCAUUAAGUACCCCGCCUGGGG